rnacentral:rRNA from 1 species
GAUGAACGCUGGCGGCGUGCCUAAUACAUGCAAGUCGAGCGAACAGAUGGGGAGCUUGCUCCUCUGACGUUAGCGGCGGACGGGUGAGUAACACGUGGAUAACCUACCUAUAAGACUGGGAUAACUUCGGGAAACCGGAGCUAAUACCGGAUAAUAUAUUGAACCGCAUGGUUCAAUAGUGAAAGACGGUUUUGCUGUCACUUAUAGAUGGAUCCGCGCCGCAUUAGCUAGUUGGUAAGGUAACGGCUUACCAAGGCAACGAUGCGUAGCCGACCUGAGAGGGUGAUCGGCCACACUGGAACUGAGACACGGUCCAGACUCCUACGGGAGGCAGCAGUAGGGAAUCUUCCGCAAUGGGCGAAAGCCUGACGGAGCAACGCCGCGUGAGUGAUGAAGGUCUUCGGAUCGUAAAACUCUGUUAUUAGGGAAGAACAAAUGUGUAAGUAACUAUGCACGUCUUGACGGUACCUAAUCAGAAAGCCACGGCUAACUACGUG